rnacentral:rRNA from 1 species
AUGAGGUUUCCUGCCUAUAAGGUCCUAAACGGAGAUCUCUAUCAUUCCGACCAUAGGCCAGUUAUCGUAUAUGUGGAGAGACCAAACAGUGAAAUAAUAUACAAAAAUACUGCACAUAGGUUUAGAUUUGAAGCCAAGUGGUUGCAAGAGGAAGAAUGUCAGACAAUAGUGAAAAAUGCAUGGGCUAAAGCCUCACUCACAGGAGGUCAAAGCACUUCGGAGAUGUUAAAAGCAGUGGCACAUGACCUCCAAGACUGAGACUCUAAUGUCUUGGAUGACCUUCCAAAAAGAAUUAAGGUGGAACUAGAAAAUGUGAGAAGGGAGGACAUCAACAAAGAAUCGGUUGCCAGGGAACAUUUCCUCAGAGACAAACUAGAUCGGUUGGAACACCAAUGGGAUACUUUUUGGAGACAAAGGGCUCAUGUCAAGUGGCUUCAAGCAGGGGAUAAAAAUACGGCUUUCUUCCACGCCUUUGCAUCGGAAAGGAAGAAAAAGAACACCUUGAAGGGAUUAAAGACAGAUGAUGGUCGUUGGAUUGAAGGAAACGAGCCUUUGAAAGAGCUUAUUACACACUACUUCUUUAGUAUCUUCUCCUCCACAGCAAGACAAGAUAAUGCGGCUAUUCUAAAAUCGGUCCACCCAAAGGUAACUGCAGAAACGAAUGAAAUAUUAUGUGCAGAAUAUUCAGAGGAAGAAGUGAAAGCUGCUCUAAAUGAUAUCGACGACCUAAAAGCCCCUGGUCCGGACGGGAUGCCAACUAUUUUCUUCAAACGUUUCUGGGAUACGGUGGGCAAGCAAGUUACAAAGGAGGUCCUCAAUGUUCUACGAGGAGGACAAAUGCCCGAGAACUGGAAUGACACUUUAGUGGUGCUUGUUCCCAAAAAUGCGAAGCCUGAGAAGAUCAAAGACUUGCGACCCAUAAGCCUGUGUAACAUGACAUAUAAGCUGGUAUCUAAGGUAACUACCAAUCGUCUAAAGCUUAUUCUUCCAGACAUAAUAUCACCAAACCAGAGUGCCUUUGCACUAGGGUGA